rnacentral:lncRNA from 1 species
UAUUACUAUUUAAGGAAGCAAGUGCCAUUUAAAGUCAUGUGGCAUGGCACUAUUAGUGACUCAUAGAAGCUGAUGGUGGUAGCCUCUAACCAACAGGUAGCAGGACACCAGUAUCUUCAAUAUCCAACCUGGAGGGAGUGUAUUUUCCCUAACAACCUGAAGAGCUUGGACAAAGGUUCUUCCCAGUUGAGACAGAUGAGACCACAUUCCGUCGCCUGAUUGCAGCUUCUUGGAUCCAUAAGGUAAGAGCCCACCUAAGCCCUAUGCAGACCCCUGACCCAUAGAAACUGAGGUGAUUGAUAUAUAUAGUGAUAAACUGCCACAUUUGUUAUGCUAUCAUUCGAUGGAAACAGAAAAUUGACACCCCUUCACCUGACCCUUCUGUCAAAGCUGCUAUAAUAUAAUCCAUGAGUCACAAUAUCUACUGAUGCUCCAAGAACCAAGGCUAAUUGGAUGCAUGAACACUAGCCUUCCCUGCAAGGACUCUGGACUCAGAUUCAGCUGGCCCCUUGGAGAGCUGGAUCAGCUGCCCCCACCCUCUGUCCACCAUAGAUGGCAGCCAUUGCCUGUGCAAGCCAUCCGCAAUCCCUAUGUUUCUGCACCUCAUUUCUGA